UACGGGGGGGGCAAGCGUUGUUCGGAAUUACUGGGCGUAAAGGGCUCGUAGGCGGCCAACUAAGUCAUACGUGAAAUCCCUCGGCUUAACCGGGGAACUGCGUCUGAUACUGGAUGGCUUGAGAUUGGGAGAGGGAUGCGGAACUCCAGGUGUAGCGGUGAAAUGCGUAGAUAUCUGGAGGAACACCGGUGGCGAAGGCGGCAUCCUGGACCAACACUGACGCUGAGGAGCGAAAGCCAGGGGAGCAAACGGG
rnacentral:rRNA from 1 species